rnacentral:tRNA from 1 species
GAGAGGUGGCCGAGUGGACGAAGGCGCUUGACUCGAAAUCAAGUGUAGGCAACCCCUACCGUGGGUUCGAAUCCCACCCUCUCC